GGACUGAACCUCUGAACCUAGCGAUCUUCAAAAGCCUUGGAAACAUCUUGUGAUUUGAAGUUCAGCAAUCAGCCUCCGGCACAGGCUUGUGGAGGAAGGACAACGAAGAAAGGAAAAGGAGACUCAGGCCCAGGAGCCACAGAACUGCAGAAGGAUAGAACCACUGCCGUCCAAAGGCCGGCCAGAGGAACACUCACUAGAGAGAUGACCAGGCCUCAUACUGUCACACUGCUCCUCUACGAUAUCGUCAGGAGGACUCCUGAGAGGAAUUUGACUUGAUUUAGAAGCCAAAGAAGCCAGCUGUUGAGAGGCCAGCAGCUGCGCAUUGAGUUUCUCAGAACUGUGUUCCACAGACUUCUUUGGUGUGCUGAUUUGUGAUGGUUCGGUGGCUGCAGGCUUUUAGGUUUUACCUCAGCAAUAACAAUGUAUCCUGACUGAGAGUUGGGGCUAUUUUAUGGGAUUAAAAAAACACCCCUUCUACA